UUAGUUAAAACCAAAUAGAGGUUUAUCACUGUUAAUGAUAUCAUUGAACUUAAGUUCUAACUAAG
rnacentral:tRNA from 1 species